AUGAAAUACAAUAAAACAGACCCCCAAUACACAUAUAGCAGAUUUUCUAACCAUGACAACAAUCACAGCUGUAAAAAAUUGGAAAUGGAUGCCCUGAAAUUGAAAAUUAAUUUAAUUAACACAGUUGUGGAUCAAUUAAAAGUCAAUUUGUUGCAUUUAAAGGCCGGUUUGUUGAGUUUAAAUCCAAGUUAUCCAAUCUUCAUUCAAAGGACAAUAUCAAAGGACAAUAUCAAAGGACCGUGA